GAAUUACUGGGCGUAAAGCGCACGCAGGCGGUUUGUUAAGCUAGAUGUGAAAGCCCCGGGCUCAACCUGGGAAUAGCAUUUAGAACUGGAUAACUAGAGUCUUGGAGAGGGGAGUGGAAUUCCAGGUGUAGCGGUGAAAUGCGUAGAUAUCUGGAGGAACAUCAGUGGCGAAGGCGACUCCCUGGCCAAAGACUGACGCUCAUGUGCGAAAGUGUGGGUAGCGAACAGGAUUAGAUAC
rnacentral:rRNA from 1 species